rnacentral:rRNA from 1 species
CCUACGGGUGGCAGCAGUCGAGAAUCAUUCACAAUGGGGGAAACCCUGAUGGUGCGACGCCGCGUGGGGGAAUGAAGGUCUUCGGAUUGUAAACCCCUGUCAUGUGGGAGCAAAUUAAAAAGAUAGUACCACAAGAGGAAGAGACGGCUAACUCUGUACCAGCAGCCGCGGUAAUACAGAGGUCUCAAGCGUUGUUCGGAAUCACUGGGCGUAAGGCGUGCGUAGGCUGUUUCGUAAGUCGUGUGUGAAAGGCGCGGGCUCAACCCGCGGACGGCACAUGAUACUGCGAGACUAGAGUAAUGGAGGGGGAACCGGAAUUCUCGGUGUAGCAGUGAAAUGCGUAGAUAUCGAGAGGAACACUCGUGGCGAAGGCGGGUUCCUGGACAUUAACUGACGCUGAGGCACGAAGGCCAGGGGAGCGAAAGGGAUUAGAUACCCCAGUAGUC